rnacentral:rRNA from 1 species
GACGGAGGGUGCAAGCGUUGUUCGGAUUGACUGGGCGUAAAGGGCGUGUAGGCGGUUGGUCAAGUCUGAUGUGAAAGCCCGGGGCUCAGCUUCGGAAGUGCAUCGGAAACUAACCAGCUGGAGCGCGAUAGAGGAGGGCGGAAUUCCUGGUGUAGCGGUGAAAUGCGUAGAUAUCAGGAGGAACACCGGCGGCGAAGGCGGCCCUCUGGAUCGUUGCUGACACUGAGACGCGAAAGCGUGGGGAGCAAACAGG